rnacentral:tRNA from 3 species
GCGGGUGUGGCGGAAUGGUAGACGCACCAGAUUUAGGUUCUGGCGCCGCAAGGCGUGGAGGUUCGAGUCCUCUCACCCGCA